rnacentral:misc_RNA from 1 species
GAGAGAGAGAGAGAGAGAAGGGGAUGAGGAGGGAUUCAAUUGCUGACUAAAGAUUGAAUCACAAAGAGGGUGACAAUGUGUCAAAAGCACACACUGCCAGGUUCAAAUCAUGGAAAGCCAAAUGAGAGUUUUGACCAUAUGUCAAAGCCACAUUUCAUGUGGAAAAAAUCCCCAAUCCCACAUGAGCAGCAACCUACAAGUUGCUAAAAAUCUACCCUUUUUUCUUUUUUUUUUUCAAAUAGACAGAAUCACUGAUCCAACUUUUUUUAUUUUUUUGGUUAUCCUAAAAAAGGCCUAAACAGCAAGUUGCUUUUGAUGGGUGGAUUCAUCUUCAUUGAAACAGCAAUGGAGUUUUAGGGGCCUUGCCAUAUUUAGAGGAUUGUCUACUAAUUGAAUAGGAGAUUGCAUCAACAACUCUUUUUGGAGGUAUGUGCAGUAAGUGCGGAAGGUCGUGGGUGUGACAUUUAAUUGGAACCCUAAACCAAACAAGAAAUCCACUUCAAGAAGAUUCAUCUCUGCUGUGCUGAUCCCUCCAACUUUGGCAUAGUAAGCAUUGUUGUAAUGUAUGUCAUCCAAGAACUUGACAGAGACUAAGACGCUGGUGAUAAGCAGCCUAUGAACAUUGAAAGAGUUGAUAGGAAUAGAAGGCUGUCUCUGGGCAAAGCGAUCAAGAUACACAAAGGCAACUACGAAGCAGGAGGGACUACAAUUGGCGUACUUGAAGAUUCUUUCCAGAUAGCUUUGAAUGGAUAUGUUAGGCCUGGUGAGGCCAUGGAAGACCGAGAUCCUCUGUGGGUAUAACUGGCGGGUAAGAUCGUUUGAUUCCGCUACUCGUUGAAGGAGAGAGGAGAGGAAUCUAAUGAUCUUAGGCAUCACUACUGUGGCCUCCAAAUCCGCCAUUGUUGAUUAAUUUUAGAUUUUUUUGGCCGUUUUAGCAGAACUUUAGCUGUGUUUUAUGAAAACACAGCCGGGUUAUCGUGCUUUGUGGCGUGUGUAGCGUGUGAGGAUGGACUUUGGUUCCUAUUCUUGCGUCUUAUAUG